AAUAGGGACUAGCAUGAACGGCUAAAUGAGGAUUACACUGUCUCUUGUAGUUGACCAAUGAAACUGAUCUUGUAGUCCAAAAGCUACAAUAAAAACACCAGACGAGAAGACCCUGUGGAGCUUCAAACCAGAACCAAAUUAAUGACCCCCCCCGGUUUUUAGUUGGGGCAACUUCGGAGUAUACACCAACCUCCGACAAACUAGUUAAGACAAACAAGUCUAAACAAUUUACUUGACCCAAUAGUUAUUAUACUACUUGACCAAUGAACCAAGUUACCCCAGGGAUAACAGCGCUAUCCCCUUUUAGAGUCCCUAUCGACAAGGGGGCUUACGACCUCGAUGUUGGAUCAGGA
rnacentral:rRNA from 1 species